rnacentral:rRNA from 1 species
GGGGAAAAAUUAGUUAUUUUAAAUUAUAAUAAAAAAAUUUUUAAAUAAAAGUAUUUAAUGGGGGUUAAAGUAUUUUUAUAGAAAAAAUUGAUUGAUUUUAUAGUAAAUUAGUAUUGUGAAAGAAUUGUGAAAUAAUUGAAAUAAUAAAUUAUUAAAAAGUAAUUUUAAUUUGAUGUAUCUUGGGUAUCAGAGUUUAUUAAUAAAUAUUUAUAAAAAAAAAAUUCUCGAAUUUAGAAGAGAUAAUUAAUUUAAUAAAGUUAUUGUGGCAAAAAUAUUUUAAAUAAUUAAUUAGAGAUGAGAUGUUAAUCGUUUUUAAAUAUAUCUAGUUUUUUUAGAAAAAAAUUUAAUUUUAUAUUAAUUUUAUUUAAAUUAUUAAUUAGUUAAUAAUUUCAUUAUGAUUUAAUUUUAUAUUUUAAGGGAUAAGCUUUAAUUUAAAUUUAUAUAAAUUUUAAUAAAAUUUUAAUUGAAAUUUUUAUGAUUUAUAUUGUUAAUAAAAUUUAGUUUAUUAUAAAUAAUUUCAUUUAAAAUAAAAUUUAAUAUAUUAUUUUAUGUAUUUAUAAGAAAGAAUUAUUAAAUAAGAAAAUAAUUGUUAUAAUGAUAAAAUUAGUAUAUAAAAAUUAAUUGAAAUAUAAUUUUUUUAUUUAAAUUAAUUAAAAGGAAUUCGGCAAAAUUUUAUAUUCACUUGUUUAUCAAAAACAUGUCUUUUUGAAAUUAAUAUAAAGUCUAAUCUGCCCACUGAUUUUACAUUAAAGGGCUGCAGUAUUUUGACUGUACAAAGGUAGCAUAAUCAUUAGUCAUUUAAUUGAUGACUUGUAUGAAAGAUUGGAUGAAAUAUAAACUGUCUUUUAAUUAAAUAUAGAAUUUAAUUUUUUAAUUAAAAAGUUAAAAUAAGUUAAAAAGACGAGAAGACCCUAUAGAGUUUUAUAAAUAAGUUAAUUGGGAUGAAAAUGGAUUUAUAAAAAAAAAUUAAAAUUUAAUUUAUUUAUUUUAUUGGGGUGAUAGAAAAAUAAGUAAAACUUUUUAUAUAUAUUUACAUAAAUAAGUGAUUAUAUGAUCCAUUAAUAAUGAUUAUAAGAAAAAAUUACCUUAGGGAUAACAGCGUAAUUUUUUUUUUUAGUUCAUAUAAGAAAAAGAGUUUGCGACCUCGAUGUUGGAUUAAGAUAAAAUUUAAAUGCAGAAGUUUAAAAUUUUUGAUCUGUUCGAUCAUUAAAAUCUUACAUGAUCUGAGUUCAAACCGGUGUAAGCCAGGUUGGUUUCUAUCUUUUAAAUAUUAAAAUAUUUUAGUACGAAAGGAUUAAAUAUUUAAAUUAAAUUUAUUUUGUUGAAUAUUAUUAAAUUAUAUUUUAUAAAUAUAUUUUUUUUUAUUAUAUAAAGUU